GUCUACAGCCAUACCACGUUGAAAGCACCAGUUCUCGUCCGAUCACUGAAGUUAAGCAACGUCGGGCUCGGUUAGUACUUGGAUGGGUGACCGCCUGGGAACACCGAGUGCUGUAGACUCCU
rnacentral:rRNA from 1 species